rnacentral:rRNA from 1 species
UACGUAGGGGGCGAGCGUUGUCCGGAUUUAUUGGGCGUAAAGAGCUCGUAGGCGGUUUGGUAAGUUGGAUGUGAAAUCUCCAGGCUCAACUUGGAGGGGUCAUUCGAUACUGCCAUGACUAGAGUUCGGUAGGGGAGUGUGGAAUUCCUGGUGGAGCGGUGAAAUGCGUAGAUAUCUGGAGGAAUACCGAUGGCGAAGGCAGGUCUCUGGGCUGACACUGACGCUCAUGCACGAAAGCGUGGGGAGCAAACAGG